rnacentral:rRNA from 1 species
AUUGAACGCUGGCGGCAGGCCUAACACAUGCAAGUCGAAUGGUAACAGGAAACAGCUUGCUGUCUCGCUGACGAGUGGCGGACGGGUGAGUAAUGUCUGGGAAACUGCCUGAUGGAGGGGGAUAACUACUGGAAACGGUAGCUAAUACCGCAUAACGUCGCAAGACCAAAGAGGGGGACCUUCGGGCCUCUUGCCAUCAGAUGUGCCCAGAUGGGAUUAGCUAGUAGGUGGGGUAACGGCUCACCUAGGCGACGAUCCCUAGCUGGUCUGAGAGGAUGACCAGCCACACUGGAACUGAGACACGGUCCAGACUCCUACGGGAGGCAGCAGUGGGGAAUAUUGCACAAUGGGCGCAAGCCUGAUGCGGCCAUGCCGCGUGUACGAAGAAGGCCUUCGGGUUGUAAAGUACUUUCAGCGGGGAGGAAGGGAGUAAAGUUAAUACCUUUGCUCAUUGACGUUACCCGCAGAAGAAGCACCGGCUAACUCCGUG